UCGAGAAUUUUUCACAAUGAGCGCAAGCUUGAUGGAGCGACGCCGCGUGGGGGAUGAAUGGCUUCGGCCCGUAAACCCCUGUCAUUCGGGAUCAACCCCUCUAACCUAACACGUUAGAGGCUGAUAGUACCGGAAGAGGAAGGGACGGCUAACUCUGUGCCAGCAGCCGCGGUAAUACAGAGGUCCCAAGCGUUGUUCGGAUUCACUGGGCGUAAAGGGUGCGUAGGCGGUCAGGUAAGUCUGAUGUGAAAUCUCUGGGCUCAACCCAGAAAAUGCAUCGGAUACUACUUGGCUAGAGGAAUGGAGGGGGGACUGGAGUUCUCGGUGUAGCAGUGAAAUGCGUAGAUAUCGGGAGGAACACCAGUGGCGAAGGCGAGUCCCUGGACAUUUCCUGACGCUGAGGCACGAAAGCAAGGGGAGCAAACA
rnacentral:rRNA from 1 species